UACGUAGGGUGCAAGCGUUGUCCGGAAUUAUUGGGCGUAAAGAGCGUGUAGGCGGCCAGACAGGUCCGUUGUGAAAACUCGAGGCUCAACCUCGAGACGCCGAUGGAAACCGUCUGGCUAGAGUCCGGAAGAGGAGAGUGGAAUUCCUGGUGUAGCGGUGAAAUGCGCAGAUAUCAGGAAGAACACCAAUGGCGAAGGCAGCUCUCUGGGACGGUACUGACGCUGAGACGCGAAAGCGUGGGGAGCGAACAGG
rnacentral:rRNA from 1 species